GUGAAUCAUCGAAUUUUUGAACGCAAAUUGCACUCUCUUCGGAGAGUAUGCCUGUUUGAGGGUCAGUAUUAACAAAAAAUCGGUUUGGUUGCAAAUUGUGACGUUUCCGGAGUUUGGGUUAUCUUAACUUUUUUGGUUAAGGGGCUUAAAAUUGACCUUAUUUGCGCAUUUUUAGACGUACAUAAAUUUUUUUUUUAUUCGUCUAUUCUUAAUGCCAAAAUCUUAUUAGAUGCGAUCAUAUAAUGAUCUCGUGCCCAUAAUUUCUCAUCCUUUGACCUCAAAUCAGGUAAGGACACCCG
rnacentral:misc_RNA from 1 species